UACAGAGGGUGCUAGCGUUGUUCGGAAUUACUGGGCGUAAAGCGCGUGCAGGCGGAUUGAGAAGUCGGGUGUGAAAGCCCUGGGCCUAACCCAGGAAUUGCGCCCGAAACCAUCAAUCUGGAGUAUGGUAGAGGAGAGGGGAACUCCCGGUGUAGAGGUGAAAUUCGUAGAUAUCGGGAGGAACACCAGAGGCGAAAGCGCCUCUCUGGGCCAUCACUGACGCUGAGACGCGAAAGCGUGGGUAGCAAACAGU
rnacentral:rRNA from 1 species